CCCGCGCGCCCCGGCCGGGCCCCGCCCGCCCCGCCGAGCAGCCGGGAGGCGGCUCCCCGCGCCCUGGGCCUCUCGGCGUCCGCCGCGCCUCCCCGGCGGGGGCCUGGGGCAGGGGCCGCCGUCUCCCGCUAGAGGGACCCGGGCUGCCUCCGCGGCCGUGUCGCCCCAGCGGACGGCCCGCGCCUCCGGAUCCGGGGCGGCGUCCUGGUCACUUGGGUCUGGCGCGUAGCGGGGCCUAGCGAGAGGCUGCCCAGCGCAGGGAGGCAGACGCGCGCGGGCCCGGCGCGUGGCGGGUGCGCCGCAGAUGUCCGCGGGCCUUGGGGACCUGCUGGCGGGCCUGGGGGCGGGGGGCACGCUGACGGGCCGCCGCAGGGAGGGCAGCGCGGAGGGCGGCCAGCCGGGCGCCGCGGGGGCUAGAACUGGGAGCUGGCUGCGUGGCGGGGGAGCCCGGGCUGCGCGAGGUGAGGCCCGGGAGAAGCGGGCGGAAGGCCGGGCGGGUGGCCGGCGGGACCUUCUCUGAGCCCAGCGCACCUGGCAACGGGCCGCAUUAAGGUGGCGGCUAGGUCAGGGUGUGGGGGCGCAGACGCGAGCCCCCGGUGCCUCCGACCGCGGCCCCCCGCUGCUGACCACGGAGAAGUUCCUUCCGAAGAACCAGGAAAGAGAUGCCGGUUUGCAAGAGCGGCCGAACGAACUUUGAGCCGGGGGCCCGCUGCGCGCCAGGCACCGAGCUGAGCACUUGGAUAAGGAGACGUGGCGGCGAACGAUGAAAGCAGUAGAGAAAGAGUGGUCUUUCCAGACGUUUGGCGGGGAGCCGGAGAGGCCCGUAGCUCAAGGAGGAGUAAGAGUAAAGGAGACAGCCUGAGAUAACAGAUUGAAGUUCAGACAAGGCCAGACUAUCCUGUUAACCAGAGACAACUUUUCAUUUGAAUGAGCAGAAUCACAGACUACAAUGAACGGAGGGAAAAAAAAUGUGUCUUGAUUGUGAAAGUACAUAGAAGCCGUCUUACCCACCACUGUCGGAUUAUGAUAGAGACAAUAAGUACCACCCCUUUCUUCUACAUCCAGAACCAGUGAGAAGAUGAAAAUAACUCCAUCACCAAUGGAGCUGAACUGAAGAAUGUGGCUUUCCUGAUGACCUAUAGGCUCUUUAAUAUUCCCUGAAUUAAAAUUAUCUCCUCCAAAAGUCCAACCUUCACCUCGAGGGGGCCUAGCCACUUUAACUGUGUCUGAUUAGAGAAGAUGGCACUCUCUGAGGGCAGACGGAUCCAAAUUCACCAACUAGAUCUCCUGUGCUACUUCCCACUGGCUGAACCCAAGAGGAAGCCUAAGGGCAAGCGAGCCCAGAUGACAUUGUUUAUCAAGGCCAGCCUCUGAAAAAUGAUGAAGGGUAGAUCUGGAAGGACGAAGGCAGAAUAUCUAGCAGACCACACACACCAGAGCUCUUGAGUUUAUUAAGCCGUGUCCAUCUGUCACCUGGACAAAGAUCAUGAUACCUUUCUGUCCCAGCACCUUCCAACCAGUUCUCCACUCUGCGGUAAGAAUCUUCCUGAAAUGAAUCACAUCCUUAUCCUGCUUAAAACCUUCCAAAGCUACCGAUGGCUUACUAUGUGGAAUACUGUCUUUUUUUUUUUAAUUUUUUUUUCAUUUAUUUCUGAGAGAGAGAGAGC